AACGAACGCUGGCGGCAUGCCUAACACAUGCAAGUCGAACGAAACCUUCGGGUCUAGUUGCGCACGUGUGCGUAACGCGUUGGAACCUGCCCUUAGGUUCGGAAUAACUCCCCGCAAGGGGUUCUAUUUCCGGAUAAUGUCUUCGGCCCAAUGAUUUAUCGCCUUUGGAUGGGCCCGCGUUGGUUUAGCUAGUUGGUAGGGUAAAAGCCUACCAAGGCGACGACCCAGAGCUGGUCUGAGAGGAUGAUCAGCCACACUGGGACUGAGACACGGCCCAGACUCCUACGGGAGGCAGAAGUGGGGAAUAUUGGACAAUGGGCGAAAGCCUGAUCCAGCAAUGCCGCGUGAGUGAUGAAGGCCUUAGGGUUGUAAAGCUCUUUUACCCGGGAUGAUAAUGACAGUACCGGGAGAAGAAGCUCCGGCUAACUCCGUG
rnacentral:rRNA from 1 species